rnacentral:snRNA from 1 species
AUACUCACCUGGCAUGAGAGAUGCUAAGCGAUCGCCAAAGUGGCUCUCGUAGUGUGAGACUCAUACAUUGCACUUAGGAAACGUGGGAAACUCGACUGGGCAAUUUCUAAUGGGCGGAGUGGUUGGCCUGCAUUCGUG